rnacentral:lncRNA from 1 species
GCAGUGUUUCAAAGGUUUUAAACAUGAUUGUGAAGAGCCAUUUGUAAUAGACACACAAGUCACCAUAGAAAAUGACAUCAUCCGUGCUAAGAGAAAGAAGGGAGUCACUAAAAAUUUUGAACCAAGACCAAAUGUUUCAAAAUAUGAAGAUAAUGACAUUAAUGCUGAGGAAAAGAAGAGAGUCGUCAAAGACUUUGAACCAAGACCUAAUGUUUCAGCUUAUGGAGCAAAUGAAAUUGAUGCUAAGGAUAAGAAGGGAGUUAUUGAUGAUUUUGAACCAAGACCCAAUGUUUCAGCUUAUGGAGACAAUGACGUUGAAGCUAAGAAAAAGAAGGGAAUCACUGAAGAUUUUGAACCAAGAUACAAUGUUUCAGCAUAUGGAGACAAUGGUGUAGAAGUUAAGGGAAAGAAGAAAGUCGUUAAAGAUUUCAAACCAAGACCAAAUGUUUCAGCUUAUGGAGACAAUGGUAUUGAUGUUAAGGAAAAUAAAGGAGCCAAUACGGAUUUUGAACCAAGACCAAAUUACGUUUCAGCAUAUGGAGACAAUAAUAUUGAUGUUACAGAAAAUAAAGGAGCCAAUAAAGAUUUUGAACCAAGAC